rnacentral:tmRNA from 1 species
AGCCUUCACAGCGCCUACUCGGGCGCCUAUAUCUGUGAUGUCCCCUCGGGGACUAUGGACAUAAACGCGCGCGGAAUAAGCGGUUCGGACCCGGGGGCGGUACCCGGCGGCUCCACCACCAUCCCAUCGUUGGGGGAUCAUGGGGCCGAAACAGGAUCGACGAACGUGUAAAGGCGUCUGCUUUGUCUCGGUGAGGUACCACCGUCAUCGGUCCGAUUUGUACAGUUGCCAACGACAACCGUGCUCCGGUCGCGCUGGCUGCGUAAGCAGUCCGCAAGACCGAAACUUAAGCCGCUGCGCCUAGCCGCGUAGCGCGGGGUUCGCAGGCACCUGGCAACAGAAGCCUGCACU